rnacentral:rRNA from 1 species
AGAGUUUGAUCCUGGCUCAGAAUGAACGUUGGCGGCGUGGAUUACGCAUGCAAGAUCGUGCGCGAAACGUAGCAAUAUCGUGGAGAGCGGCGAAAGGGAGAGUAAUACAUGGUUAGCUACCCUCGGGACUGGGAUAGCGGCGGGAAACUGCCGGUAAUACCAGAUGACGUCUUCGGACCAAACGUGUAAACCGGCCCGAGGAGGCGACCGUGUCCUAUCAGCUAGUUGGCGGUGUAAUGGACCACCAAGGCUUUGACGGGUAUGGGGCGUGAGAGCGUGCCCCCACUCACUGGGACUGAGACACUGCCCAGACACCUACGGGUGGCUGCAGUCGAGAAUCUUCGGCAAUGGGCGCAAGCCUGACCGAGCGACGCCGCGUGCGGGAUGAAGGCCUUCGGGUUGUAAACCGCUGUCGUAGGGGAGGAAGGUCUGGUGUAGAGCCAGGCUUGACCGAUCCUAGGAGGAAGGGCCGGCUAAUCUCGUGCCAGCAGCCGCGGUA